UACAGAGGUCUCGAGCGUUGUUCGGAUUCAUUGGGCGUAAAGGGUGCGUAGGCGGCCUGCUAAGUCGGACGUGAAAUCCCUCGGCUCAACCGGGGAACUGCGUCCGAUACUGGUGGGCUCGAAUCCGGGAGAGGGAUGUGGAAUUCCAGGUGUAGCGGUGAAAUGCGUAGAUAUCUGGAGGAACACCGGUGGCGAAGGCGGCAUCCUGGACCGGUAUUGACGCUGAUGCGCGAAAGCCAGGGGAGCAAACGGG
rnacentral:rRNA from 1 species